GGCUGUGCUCCACCCCCGGCCUGGCAGCUUGUCUUUCCGGCCCACAGGACAAGCCCUGCCCUUGGUGGUGCCGAGUGAUGGGAGAAGCCACUUUCUGGGCUGAGUCGAGUGGCGGCCUCAGGCAGCGCUCCUCCCCAGCCCAGCCACUUUCUUGGAGGUGAGGAGUAACGAGAGAGAAGCCACUUCCUGGGCUGAGAUGCACAGCCACCUCAGGCAUACUUUGGAGAUGUUGCCAGUUCGGCUGUGGACCACUGCAUUAAAGUGAAUAUCUCAGUAAAUCAAUUCAGGUUGUAGGGAGCUGCGUCUACUUUGGGGAGACAGAAACGGG